rnacentral:rRNA from 1 species
UACGUAGGGUGCGAGCGUUAAUCGGAAUUACUGGGCGUAAGGCGUGCGCAGGCGGUUUUGUAAGCCAGAUGUGAAAUCCCCGGGCUUAACCUGGGAAUGGCAUUUGGGACUGCAAGGCUAGAGUGUGGCAGAGGAGACUGGAAUUCCUGGUGUAGCAGUGAAAUGCGUAGAUAUCAGGAGGAAUACCGAUGGCGAAGGCAGGUCUCUGGGCUAACACUGACGCUCAUGCACGAAAGCGUGGGGAGCAAACAGG